rnacentral:rRNA from 1 species
GAUGAACGCUGGCGGCGUGCCUAAUACAUGCAAGUCGAGCGAACGGACGAGAAGCUUGCUCCUCUGAUGUUAGCGGCGGACGGGUGAGUAACACGUGGAUAACCUACCUAUAAGACUGGGAUAACUUCGGGAAACCGGAGCUAAUACCGGAUAAUAUAUUGAACCGCAUGGUUCAAAAGUGAAAGACGGUCUUGCUGUCACUUAUAGAUGGAUCCGCGCUGCAUUAGCUAGUUGGUAAGGUAACGGCUUACCAAGGCAACGAUGCAUAGCCGACCUGAGAGGGUGAUCGGCCACACUGGAACUGAGACACGGUCCAGACUCCUACGGGAGGCAGCAGUAGGGAAUCUUCCGCAAUGGGCGAAAGCCUGACGGAGCAACGCCGCGUGAGUGAUGAAGGUCUUCGGAUCGUAAAACUCUGUUAUUAGGGAAGAACAUAUGUGUAAGUAACUAUGCACAUCUUGACGGUACCUAAUCAGAAAGCCACGGCUAACUACGUG